CUAACACACACUCUGCAUUCACUAAACUAUGCACACACUCUGGAUUCACUAUACCGACACACACUCUGCAUUCACUACACUAACAUACAUUUUGCAUUAACUGUACACACAGCAUCCACUACACAAACAUCCUGUAUUCACAGUACACACACUACAUCCACCACAAAUUGAAACACUCUGCAUAUACUAUACACAGACACUGCGUCUAAUACACACACUGCAUCCACUAAAC